CCUACGGGAGGCAGCAGUGGGGAAUCUUGCACAAUGGAGGAAACUCUGAUGCAGCGAUGCCGCGUGAGUGAAGAAGGCCUUUGGGUUGUAAAGCUCUUUUGUAGGGGAAGAUAAUGACUGUACCCUAAGAAUAAGGUCCGGCUAACUUCGUGCCAGCAGCCGCGGUAAUACGAAGGGACCUAGCGUAGUUCGGAAUUACUGGGCGUAAAGCGCGCGUAGGCCGUUGAGUUAGUUAAUUGUGAAAUCCCAAAGCUUAACUUUGGAACUGCAAUUAAAACUGCUCGACUAGAGUUUGAUAGAGGAAAGCGGAAUACAUAGUGUAGAGGUGAAAUUCGUAGAUAUUAUGUAGAACACCAGUUGCGAAGGCGGCUUUCUGGAUCAACACUGACGCUGAGGCGCGAAAGUAUGGGUAGCAAAGAGGAUUAGAUACCCUCGUAGUCCAUACCAUAAACGAUGAUUGCUAGAUGUUGGAAAUUUAUUUUCAGUAUCGCAGCUAACGCAUUAAGCAAUCCGCCUGGGGAUACGAUCGCAGGUUAAACUUAAGGAAAUUGAACGG
rnacentral:rRNA from 1 species